rnacentral:lncRNA from 1 species
UCUGACAAAGUUGAAAACGCGUAAAUCUUACUAUUCCAACUACAACACUGUUGCCGACAAACAUGGAUGACAAAGCCAUAUCCACACCACUACCUGCUAUUGGAGAAAUCUCUAUAUAUGUCGACCUUUGUUCUCUAUAACAAGGCAGAUUUGCAAGAAUACCUAACUCUUCCUCAUCUCCGAGAAUGCAGAUUCAACAAAGCAUCUCGAAGUACUCAGUUUUCUUCCUCUCCGAGAAUACCUCUUCGAAUAAGUCACACCAGAACAAGAAUAUCUCAUAUCAUCAGGGAUGAGAGCAAAAAUAUCUCAUAUCAUGCAAUCUCUCUGUCAUUUCCUUUGUCUUUGUUCUUACCUUCAAAGACAAGGAUAAAAAAAGCAAUAUGUCGGAACCUCCACUCAAACUCCCGGUAAGGAACCGACUGCCUAGAACCUUUCCUGAUUGCUUACCUAGCAUUGCUCUCAAGUAGUCAUCUUCAACUGUUGUUGGAGCUGGGUCUCCAGUCACCAAGAAGUGAUGAACCAUCCAAAUGCAAGGGUUGCAUUCCACUCCUGCAUCAGAAGGCAAAUACUGCAGGAGAAUAUGCCACACAUGUAUGGGGGAAAACCAGGAAAAAUACUACUUAAGCAAGGGCAACAAGUAAGGCAAGUGAAAAUGAUACAUUGAAGUAUGUGGAGACAAGCACAACAAACACGUGCUGAUUCAUCCCUGACAAAGCUAAAGAUCACUUGCCACGUGAAGCUCCUCACGGUACAACUUCAUUCAAGAUCAAGCUUCGAAGGUCCUUGAAGAAAUCAUAAGUUUGAUUCAAGAUCAAAUGUCCACCACCCUUGAAUUAAAUUUAGCCCCAGAUAAAAAAAGUAAAUUCAGACCUUUGGAGGAAGUCUAGCAGAAGGCCCUCCAGCCCAGUUUAAGAACAAGC